CUGCCCCCACAUCUCCACCGUCCUCUCCCUCUCUCGCUCGCUUCCACACUCCGCCCUGACAUCCACCCUUCGACUCCAAGAGGCGAAAUCGUGGCAUCCACGUAGCGGCAUCGGUUUACCCCCGCGGCCGGCCCUAAACCCUAGGCCCGGUUCUACUCCGUUCUCCGGGCUAGGCUUUUGGCCGUUCUUGAGAGUCAGGGUAUCUGAAUAGUGUCAAGUUCAGUUGGACUGAAGCUAGUUUCAUUAUGGGUUUUGAUAAUGAGUGUAUACUGAAUAUUCAGUCCCUUCCUGGUGAAUACUUCUGUCCUGUUUGCCGCACGCUUAUCUAUCCAAAUGAAGCUUUACAAUCUCAGUGCACCCAUCUAUACUGCAAACCAUGCUUAGCUUACAUCGUGGCUACUAGUCAAGCAUGCCCUUAUGAUGGAUACCUCGUGACUGAAGCAGACUCGAAGCCGCUGAUUGAAUCAAAUAAAGCACUUGCCGAGACCAUUGGUAAAGUGGCAGUUUACUGUCUCUAUUGUAGGAGUGGGUGUCAAUGGCAGGGAACAUUGUCCGAAUGUAUUGCACAUUGUACUGGUUGUGCCUUUGGAAAUUCACCUGUUGUAUGCAACAGGUGUGGUAUUCAAAUUAUACAUCGGCAAGUACAAGAACAUACACAGAUAUGUCCUGGUUUGCAACCUCAAGCUCAACAGGUAGACGGUGGUCAGGCUCAAGCUUCAACAACAUCAUCACAAGCUGUUUCCCAGGAUCCAAGUGUGGCUUCCUCAGCAGCUCCUGCAUCAACUGCUUCAGCAGCUAGUGCAACAACAACUUCUGCAGCUGUUGCAACUCCUGCUGCUUCUGCAGCUACUCCAACUGCGCUGCCUGCUGCCACUUCUGUAAUCAUGCCUGUUGUUUCCACUACUGCAACUACACUCCCUGCUGCUUCUCAAGGCCAAAGUCAAACGAAUUCAACCGGCAAUGCACAAGCUGCAGCACAGGUUCCAACGCCUCAUCAAUUGUACCAGCAACAACAAUUGCAAUACCAGCAGUACUAUCAGAUGUACCAUGGCUAUGACCCUUAUCAGCAGCAAUAUCAACAGAAUGCUCAAUAUCAGCAGCAACCCUACCCACAGUAUGCCCAAUCUCAGAUGCAAGUUGUCCCUCAGCUAGCAAUCCAAGGACAGCAGCAGACUUCUUCAUAUGUGCAGUCUCAACCUCAUCCCCAAGCUCAGCUUCAACCUCAAGCCCUGGCCCAGCCUCUAACCCAGCCCCAGCCACAGCCACAAGCACAGGUAGCUCAACUGCAACAGCAGCAGCAACAUUUGCCCCAGCCCCAGCCCCAGCCCCAGCCCCAGCCCCAAUCUCAACCCAGUGCCCAUCUUGUGCAAAUGCAGACACAACUGCCUCGUACACCUGUUCAGCAGCCUUACACGCAAGCGCGUCCACAAACUAAUCUGCCACCCCAAGCUCAAAUAGCAGGCCAACAAUUUGGUCAGCCACCCCAACCACAUCAAACCCAACAGUCUUAUCCUCGGACGCAACCACAGCAGCAGGUCCAGGCACCUCUAUAUCAACAUCCUCUGCAGCCACAUCAUCAUCCACAGUCCCUUCCUCAACAGCUGCCUCAUCUACAUGCUCAACCACAGGCUCGUCCUACCAGCCUUCAACAACCACCUAUGCUUCUGCAACCUCAUCCCCAGCAUCCUAGCGCUCAGCCCCAACCAAUGACACAACCACAGCAUCCAUCGGUUCAUGCGGUGACGGAACGCCAGUCGUACCAGCAGCCUCAAAUGCUCCAGCAGGACCAGCCUGGUGCCCAACCACAACAUCCCAUGCUUAUGCAUUCCCAGCAGCAAGGUGUUACCCAACAACAUCCUGUUCAAUUGCCAAACCAGUUUGCACCUCAACAGCCUCCUCGGAUGCCUCCUCCAACUGGGCAUAUCCCAAUGCAAGUCCAACAGCAACCAAUGCUACCCACACAAAGGCCUCCUGCAAGUCUUCAACCUCAGCAACAACCGCAUCUUACAGUUCAUCAGCAUGGACAACAACUGCACCAGUACACUGGUCUGCAUUCACAGGCACCUCAGCAGGGUUUGCCUCCUCAGCAAUCACAUGGCCAUUUGAAUUCUGGCCAGCAGAGUCAGCUGGGGAUGCUUGCAUCACAGCAGCAAUUGCAUCCUCAGGUUCCACCAUAUACGCAACAUCAUUUUCCUCCUCAUCUGCAGGCUCAGCAGAAUAUGCCUCUAUCUCAGGCUCUGACAACACAUCAAACACAGGCUGUAGCUGGCAGGCCUGUGAUGGUGAAUAAUGGCAUGCCACAUCAACUGAUUCAACAAUCUCCUAGAGGUCCAGGCAAGCUAGUACAACAUGUUCUGAAUCAACAAUCGCCAAGUCAGAGUCACUUGACCCAGCCAGGCAAUAAUUUGGCAGCAACAUAUGACUCACAAAGGUCUCAUCUCCCAAAACCUGGCAGCUAUGACAGCUCUAUACCUGUGUCUGCAUCACAUUCAGGGGUAGUAGAUAAAGUGGGCCAUGCCACUGAAUUGUCAACAGAAACAGCUGCCAAGAAUGCCGAAGGCAAUGAGCAGACUGAAAGAUCUGCAAUGGUUGAUCCAAAGAUUCUCAAAACAGAGUUGGAAACUGUUAAAGAAAAAGUUAGUGGCAAAGUUAAGGAAAAAGAUAUGCAACUGGAGGUAGAACCAACACUGGUUCGUGGAAGAAGCAUGGAUUCUCAUACCGAUAUGGAGCUUCCAGAAUCUAAGCAUGCGAUUAAGGAAGAAUUGGCUAACUUGCCGGAAGAUGGUAUUGAGACAUCACAUAUUUCUAAGGAUAGAGAUGUAGAAGGGGAAAUUCAGGGUGUAGAAGAGAAACCUGAUGUAAAUGCUGGUGUGCAGGUGGAAAUUCAAUGUGCAAAUUUGCCGUCUGAUGCUAGCUUGCAUUCCAUUUCUAGUGCAUUACCGAAGGAGUCAUCUGGCUUAAGUGAAGGUCAGACUGAUGGGGAAAUUGCUAGUAAAACUCAACCUCCUCAGCAACUGUCAGUUACUAGCAGUGAUGGAGGUCAGCUGCCACAACCAACCAAGCAACGUGUGACGCCAUCCUAUGAUGGAGCAUCUUUACAGCCUGGUUCUCAUGAGAAGAACUCGGCCUGGUUAGCUUGGCAAGGCUUGGGAUCAGGAAUGCCACAAGUUGUUGGCCCAGCAGGUUCUUCAUCUGAUAAGGAGGGCUUUCCACCACAACACAUACCCCACAGUCAUCCUUCAAAUGUGCCAGUCAUGACCCCCAGGUUUCCAGCACCUGACAAAAUAUUACCACUGCAAAUGUCACACCAAGGGGCGAUUCAUGAUAGAAGAUCCCAGGAAGCUCCAUACCAAAUGCAGGCACCUGGGCAAAACAUGAUAUUGAGCCAAAUGAGACCCCUGGAUCAUGGUUAUCCUGAACCUAUUCCUCGUCAGGUACAGCCUUCAAUUGUACAAGAGCCGCUUAGGCCUCCAAGUGGGCAACCAUAUGGUGGUGGUUAUCAUUCUGAUGCAAUGCAUGGUGGCCUUCCUGGUCCAGUCUUGCCCACCUCAGGUAGGGCUCCUGGACAUGCUGGAUUCCCUCAGCAAGGAUUUCCAGAACCGGUUAUAGCCCAGGGACAAAGUCAAAAUUAUUUGUCUGUGCCACAUGCUGGCACUACUAGAGUUCCACAUGGUGAGUCUUUAACACGAACAGCUCCAGUUGUGCCACUGACUGGCGCCUUUAAUACAUCUACUCAAAUGAUGCCAAGGGGACCUCCUUUUCAUCCUGAAGAUCGUGGAGUUCCCUCUCAUGUUGGAAAUCCCAAUAUCUUGGAAGCUGAAAUAUAUGACACCAGGAGGCCUGUUUUUCAAGAUGUCAGACAGACUGACCCACAUGUCGAGUCAAAUGUGAUUGCUAACGGGAUUCAAAGAAAGUUGAGAUUUGUUGGCAUGCAUGAUUCUCAUGGGCUGGCUGAAGGCAGACUAAAGCCUUUGCCAGAUGAAAGAUUCAGAUCAUUGCCGGGAGAUGGGAUGCCAAGGCCUUUUCCACUUGAACCUGGCAGGCACAAUGUAAGUGGCAGGGAGUUUGAAGAAGAUUUGAAACAAUUUCCUCGCCCGGCCCAUUUGGAUGGUGAAGGUUUCCAGAAGUUUGAUAGUUAUGGUUCUUCAACAAGGCUUCUUGAGAGGGGGCAGCAGCAUGUUGGUCCUGAUUCUAUACCAAGAUCUUCUAAUAUAUCUGUGCCUGGGCCUGAUGGAAUUCCUAGUGAAUUCCUUGCAACCCAAGUUGGUCCUUUCCAAGCUGGCAAUUCUGCUCCUUUUCCAGCCAGUAGGGCUGGUUCAGAGUUCCACAUGAUGAAUAUUUUGGAAAUGCGCAGGCCUGCUGGCUUCCAUGAGGACUUUGGUGCUGUUCCUGAUUUGCGUAGAUCGCUGCCUGGAUCUGGUCAUCGUCAUAUACAAAGUCCAGUAAAAAAUCUUGGUGGUCUUCCAUCUAGUAGGUUUGGAUCAGCUAGCCAGCCACACAUGGAGGAUAUUGAUCCCAAGGAGCUGCAUGGAUUUGCUGAACGAUCAAAAGCUUUUAACCUUCCUUCAGAUUCAACUGGCAGUUAUUUCCAUGAUAGCAAGAGUUCUAUGCCAGGGGCAUUGCCUGGUCGUUCUGCAAGAGGUGUUCCUGAUCGUCCUAGAAAUUUCCGGAUGGUGGAGCAACUUCGUUCAGGUAACUUUCCUGGCAGUACAAGAAAAGAUCUAGAUGGUCGUGAGAUCCCUCGCAUCCACAUGCACCCUGGUGAUCGCAGUUUUGGUGUCAAUUAUGGGCACGAUUUUCCAAAUGAGGCUGGAAUGUUUAGCACGAAAAGGAAGCCUGGGACGACGGGAUGGUGCCGCAUAUGCAGUGUCGACUGUGGAACAGUGGAGGGCUUGGAUUUUCAUGCACAGAGUCGGGAGCACCAAAGGAUGGCCAUAGAUAUGGUAUUGGCAAUUAAGAAGGAGAACAACAAAAAACACAGAAUAUCUGAGGGUGUCUUAUCCUUUGAAGACUCAAACAAAUCAAGAAAUUAUUUUGGAAGACAGUUGAAAUAAACAGUUGCUGCUGCAGCUGUCGAAAUGGGUUUUGAGCUGUAGUUGAAUCAGCAAGUGGAGAUUUGUUUCAGUCAUGAUGAACUUAUGAAACGAUCUUACUAGCUUACCUUGUGCAGUUUUGCAAGUCUUCCAGACUUCCGUAGCUUUGGUAGGCGGUGAUUGAGUUUGUCAUUUCAUUUUGGAGGGUGCUAUUAGGUUCAGGAAUCCAGUUGCUGAUAGAACUUUGGACUUUCAAUGUAAUAAUCUACCCUUCUACAUUCUCAGAUCUUUAUUGGUAGUGCAAUUCUCCUUUUAUCUCGUCAUUUUAAAUGCUUAGAUGACUCGUCUCACAGAAGUGCCUACUUACUGCUGGCUUUUUCCUAGUAUUGACAUGCUAGAUCCUAUGUAUUUAUCUGCGGCACCAAUUAGCUAUAUGAUAGUUGAUUCUUAGGUCUGCAUAAAUUUGUGGCGUUCAUUCAUGUGUACAUGUACAUAUUCUUGAAUAGUUGGACAAGGGGUCUUUAUUACCUAAACUUACAUUCCAGAAUGUUAAUAUGUCAAGUUAGUGUCCUCUUUUCUCUGA